AGCAGCCGCGGUAAUUCCAGCUCCAAUAGCGUAUAUUAAAGUUGUUGCAGUUAAAAAGCUCGUAGUUGAAUUUCGGGACCAAUAUGUCAGUCGUGCCUCGGUACGCACUGGCUUAUUGGUUUCUCCUUUCUGAAGAACCAUGAUGUCAUUCAUUUGGUGUCGUGGGGAAUCAGGACUGUUACUUUGAAAAAAUUAGAGUGUUUAAAGCAGGCUCACGCUUGAAUACAUUAGCAUGGAAUAAUGAAAUAGGACGUUUGAUUCUAUUUUGUUGGUUUCUAGGAUCGACGUAAUGAUUAAUAGGGAUAGUUGGGGGCAUUAGUAUUCAAUUGUCAGAGGUGAAAUUCUUGGAUUUAUUGAAGACUAACUACUGCGAAAGCAUUUGCCAAGGAUGUUUUCAUUAAUCAAGAACGAAAGUUAGGGGAUCGAAGACGAUCAGAUACCGUCGUAGUC
rnacentral:rRNA from 1 species